CACGUAGGGGGCGAGCGUUGUCCGGAUUCAUUGGGCGUAAAGAGCUCGUAGGCGGCUCAGUAAGUCGGGUGUGAAACCCUCAGGCUCAACCUGGGGACGCCACUCGAUACUGCUGUGGCUAGAGUCCAGUAGAGGAGUGUGGAAUUCCCGGUGUAGCGGUGAAAUGCGCAGAUAUCGGGGAGGAACACCAACGGCGAAGGCAGCACUCUGGGCUGGAACUGACGCUGAGGCGCGAAGGCGUGGGGAGCGAACGGG
rnacentral:rRNA from 1 species